AACGUAGGUUCCGAGCGUUAUCCGGAUUUAUUGGGCGUAAAGAGCUCGUAGGCGGCUUGUCGCGUCGUCCGUGAAAACCCACAGCUCAACUGUGGGCUUGCGGUCGAUACGGGCAGGCUAGAGUUCGGUAGGGGAGACUGGAAUUCCUGGUGUAGCGGUGAAAUGCGCAGAUAUCAGGAGGAACACCGGUGGCGAAGGCGGGUCUCUGGGCCGAUACUGACGCUGAGGAGCGAAAGCGUGGGGAGCGAACAGG
rnacentral:rRNA from 1 species